rnacentral:rRNA from 1 species
CCUACGGGAGGCAGCAGUGAGGAAUAUUGGUCAAUGGCCGGAAGGCUGAACCAGCCAUGCCGCGUGAAGGACAGUGCCCUAUGGGCGUUAAACUUCUUUUGUGCGGGAGCAAUAAUGGUCACGUGUGGCCAGACGAGAGUACCGUACGAAUAAGCAUCGGCUAACUCCGUGCCAGCAGCCGCGGUAAUACGUAGGUGGCAAGCGUUGUCCGGAUUUACUGGGGGUAAAGGGCGUGCAGACGGGAAGACAAGUCUGAUGUGAAAGCCCGCGGCUCAACCGCGGAACUGCAGUUGAAACUGUUUUUCUUGAGUACCGGAGAGGUCAGCGGAAUUCCUGGUGUAGCGGUGAAAUGCGUAGAUAUAAGGAAGAACACCAGUGGCGAAGGCGGAUGACUGGACGGCAACUGACGGUGAGGCGCGAAAGCGUGGGGAGCAAACAGGAUUAGAUACCCGGGUAGUC